GGUGUCGAACGCACUGCGUUCGGUGAAAAGGGAAGCGGGUGAAAAUCCCGCGCGAACUCGUCACUGUAAUCGGGGAAUGGACAGGCAACAAGCCACUGGAAACGGGAAGGCCGCCUGAUCCGUGAUGAUCCGUAAGCCAGGAGACCUGCCCGGCU
rnacentral:ncRNA from 1 species